CUCAUUUUCUCGGUCUUUUGGCUAAGGUCAUGUGUAAUAUUUACCAGUUCAAUAUCUAGUAUAUGAACAAUAUGUUCACUUUGACAUUAAAUUCAUUUAUUAUGGGUAUUUUUA
rnacentral:snRNA from 1 species